rnacentral:rRNA from 1 species
GACGAACGCUGGCGGCGUGCCUAAGACAUGCAAGUCGAGCGAGGGAACUUCGGUUUCCGAGCGGCGGACGGGUGAGUAACGCGUGGGUAACCUGCCCUUCAGCCCGGGAUAACUGCCUGAAAAGGUGGCUAAUACCGGAUGCGGUGAUGAGGUCGCAUGAACUGAUCACGAAAAUUACGGUGCUGAAGGAUGGGCCCGCGUCCCAUUAGCUAGUUGGUGAGGUAACGGCCCACCAAGGCGACGAUGGGUAGCCGGCCUGAGAGGGUGGACGGCCACACUGGGACUGAGACACGGCCCAGACUCCUACGGGAGGCAGCAGUCGGGAAUCUUCCACAAUGGGCGAAAGCCUGAUGGAGCGACGCCGCGUGAGGGAAGAAGGUCUUCGGAUCGUAAACCUCUGUCCUCAGGGACGAUGAUGACGGUACCUGAGGAGGAAGCCACGGCUAACUACGUGCCAGCAGCCGCGGUAAAAUGCGUACU